rnacentral:tRNA from 1 species
UCCCUGGAGGACUAGUGGUUAGGCCACAGUGCUCUCACUGCUGUGGUCCGGGUUUGAUUCCCGGCCAGGGAA